rnacentral:lncRNA from 1 species
UAGCCACUUCCAAAGCCCCUGGAACUCUGGCCCAAGGCUCUCUGACUCCUUCCCAGAUCUUCUCAGCUUAGCGGCUGAAGACUGACGCUGCCCGAUCGCCUUGGAAGCCCUGUAGACAAUUACAGAUGCCGAGCUUCGGGUAACUCUCAGAGUGGAGGGAACUGACUCAGGGCAAGAAGACAGCUUUGACUCCCGAUGAUUUCAUCUCUGACCUGACCAAUCAGCACUCCUGGCUCACUGGCCUCCCCACAUCCACCAAGAUGUCCUUAAAAAUUCUGAUUCCGGAAUGCUCGGGAAGACUGAUUUGAGUAAUAAUAAAACUCUGGUCUUCCACACAGCCAGUUCUGCAUGAAUUACUCUUUCUCUAUUGCAUUUCCCCUGUCUUGAUAAAUCGGCUCUAUCUAAGCAGUGGGCAAAGUGAACCCACUGGGCGGUUACGCUAUGGGCCAGGGUUUGCUGACUACUUCGUAUGUAUAAGGUUAUUUAUUCUUCAUGAUAACAUAAUUUUUAAAAAGGCAUUGUCUUCCCCACUUUACAAAUGAGACAACUAAAGUGCAAAAAGUGUAAGUAACUUUCAAAGAUCACAGAAUUUGAAUGCGAUGGCCAGGGCUGAGUCCAUGCUCUAGACAGUAGUGUUCAACCUCUUCCCUUGGUGCUACCAGCUGGGGCCUGUACUAGUUUUCUAUCCUCACCCUUGCACCAUGACUUGGAGUCUCUCUGGAAGCUGACAGGAGAAUUUCAGAGAAGGCACGACGCAUCAGUGCCACUGGGAGGAAAGAAGCUUUUGUUUGAUCCUCUAAGCCCCAGUUGGAACCAAUCUUCGCAGUGGUGUUGGCAGCCUCAGGACUCUCUGGGGACUUUCCCAUUCUGGAAACUGAAGAUCUGCUUAAGCGCUGCACAGGUGACAGUUACCCGAUCCUCGGCUAGCUCUUUGCUGUGGUGGCCAAGAAAAUGCUCAUUAAGUUUGGAGUUCUGUUUCCUUAGUUCCUUGUCCUGACAGCCUAAAUGAUUUCAGAUUUUUCCAGUAGUGUGCUCUUCUCCCACCUACAAAACAAAAUGUACAUGUGCUUCCUAGGUUAAGGGAUGGUUUUAUUUAGGUCCAACUGGAUGGUGGGAACUGAGAAAUACUGCAUUCGAGGACCGGGGCAAGUUCUGAAGCUCCUAAGCAGUGGGUGCCCACGGAGAAUACAUUUCAGGUCCAUUAUUCAUGACUUAAGUUGAUGUUCUCAAGCAUUAGGCCAAAGACCUGAAAAAUACAAUAAUCCCCGAGAAAUGUACUGCCCAGAAUGUCAUAUUAUCCCACAAGGAGGAAUGCCUAACCAAGACUAGGAAAAGGACAAGGCCAAACCCCUUGCUGGGAUGUACAAAGUAUAAUUGCAAAUUGUCAGUAAUGAAGAAUGCCGCAUGGUCAGUUGUGUUUACUGGAACUUGUCUAGUGAUAUCACUGACAGUCAGCAAGGGAGGUCAGGUUCCUGCUGCCUCACGGCCUCCCAUAAAAGACAGGAGUAAACUUCUUUGAGUAUAAUGAGUCUCCCUUUUCCUGUUCCUCUCUCCUUCCAUGUAUACCUGCUGCUUUCUUUCGAACUAGAAAUCUAUUUCAUUUUGUUUGGAGAAUAAAGUCUUUGGUAGAUGCUAGUUACUGAAUUCAUGUGCUGCUUAAGCUCAGAAGACACACGUGGACAGAAACCCUCCUACAGGGAAGUCGAGACUUUCCCUCUGAAAGUUCAAGUCUAAAUCUGUUGAAAUGAAUUUAUAAGAAAUAUAUUAACAGAAAAUAAGAUGCACAAAUGUAUUAAUGUGCACAUGGACACGAGAGUCACACAAGUACAAGACUCAAAGAAGGGCCAGAUGGUUGAGGCUUAUAUACUCUCUUCAUAGAAGAGAGGGAGAUGGGGAAAAUGAAAGCAAUUUACGGGAUUGCAAAUAAUUUUUAGGGGAAUUGAGAGGACUUGGGAGGCAGAUAUUAUCUUGUAAAUAUUCUUAGGAAACUGAAUGGGACCUGCAAGUUACAGGAAAG